rnacentral:rRNA from 1 species
AGUGAACGCUGGCGGCGUGCCUAAUACAUGCAAGUCGAACGGAGUGGCGCACGGGGGAGUAAUGUAUAGCUAAUCCGCCCUACACUAGAGGACAACAGUUGGGAAAGACUGCUAAUACUCUAUAGUGUAGGAUGAGGCUAUAUUGUAUCAGCUAGUUGGUGAGGUAAUGGCGCACCAAGGCUAUGACGCAUAACUGGUCUGAGAGGAUGAUCAGUCGACCCGGACGUGAGACACCGUCCGGACUCCUACGGGAGUGAGCAGUAGGGAAUAUCGGUCAAUGGGGGAAUCCCUGAAGGGGCUACGCGGCGUAAAGGAUGACACUUUUCGGAGCAUAAACUCCUGUUGUUAGGGAAACGGUACCUAACGAAUAAGCACCGGCUAACUCCGUGCCAGCCGCCGCGGUAAUAC